GGUGCCGGAAGAUUAAAUGAUGGGGUGCAAGCUCUUGAUUGAAGUCCCGGUAAACGGCGGCCGUAACUAUAACGGUCCUAAGGUAGCGAAAUUCCUUGUCGGGUAAGUUCCGACCUGCACGAAUGGCGUAACGAUGGCCACACUGUCUCCUCCCGAGACUCAGCGAAGUUGAAGUGUUUGUGAUGAUGCAAUCUACCCGCGGCUAGACGGAAAGACCCCAUGAACCUUUACUGUAGCUUUGCAUUGGACUUUGAACCGAUCUGUGUAGGAUAGGUGGGAGGCUAUGAAACCGGAACGCUAGUUUCGGUGGAGCCGUCCUUGAAAUACCACCCUGGUUUGUUUGAGGUUCUAACCUUGGCCCGUGAUCCGGGUCGGGGACAGUGCAUGGUAGGCAGUUUGACUGGGGCGGUCUCCUCCCAAAGCGUAACGGAGGAGUACGAAGGUACGCUAGGUACGGUCGGAAAUCGUGCUGAUAGUGCAAUGGCAUAAGCGUGCUUAACUGCGAGACCGACAAGUCGAGCAGGUGCGAAAGCAGGUCAUAGUGAUCCGGUGGUUCUGUAUGGAAGGGCCAUCGCUCAACGGAUAAAAGGUACUCUGGGGAUAACAGGCUGAUACCGCCCAAGAGUUCAUAUCGACGGCGGUGUUUGGCACCUCGAUGUCGGCUCAUCUCAUCCUGGGGCUGUAGCCGGUCCCAAGGGUAUGGCUGUUCGCCAUUUAAAGAGGUACGUGAGCUGGGUUUAAAACGUCGUGAGACAGUUUGGUCCCUAUCUGCCGUGGGCGUUGGAUAUUUGAAGGGGGCUGCUCCUAGUACGAGAGGACCGGAGUGGACGAACCUCUGGUGUACCGGUUGUCACGCCAGUGGCAUCGCCGGGUAGCUAUGUUCGGAAGAGAUAACCGCUGAAAGCAUCUAAGCGGGAAACUCGCCUUAAGAUGAGAUAUCCCUGGAGGCUAGACCUCCUUGAAGGGUCGUUCGAGACCAGGACGUUGAUAGGUCAGGUGUGUAAGCGCAGUAAUGCGUUCAGCUAACUGAUACUAAUUGCCCGUAAGGCUUGAUCCUAUAACA
rnacentral:rRNA from 1 species